rnacentral:rRNA from 1 species
CACGUAGGGUGCGAGCGUUGUCCGGAAUUAUUGGGCGUAAAGAGCUCGUAGGCGGUGUGUCGCGUCGGCCGUGAAAAACCUGCAGCUUAACUGUGGGCUUGCGGUCGAUACGGGGCAUCACUGGAGUUCGGCAGGGGGAGACUGGAAUUCCUGGUGUAGCGGUGAAAUGCGCAGAUAUCAGGAGGAACACCGGUGGCGAAGGCGGGGUCUCUGGGGCCGAUACUGACGCUUGAGGAGCGAAAAGCGUGGGGGAGCGAACAGG